rnacentral:rRNA from 1 species
GACGAACGCUGGCGGCGUGCUUAACACAUGCAAGUCGAACGGAAAGGCCCCUUUGGGGGUACUCGAGUGGCGAACGGGUGAGUAACACGUGAGUAACCUGCCCUUGACUUCGGGAUAACUUCAGGAAACUGGGGCUAAUACCGGAUAGGAAUCCUUGCUGCAUGGUGGGGGUUGGAAAGCUUCGGCGGUUUUGGAUGGACUCGCGGCUUAUCAGCUUGUUGGUGGGGUAGUGGCUUACCAAGGCUUUGACGGGUAGCCGGCCUGAGAGGGCGACCGGCCACAUUGGGACUGAGAUACGGCCCAGACUCCUACGGGAGGCAGCAGUGGGGAAUAUUGCACAAUGGGCGGAAGCCUGAUGCAGCAACGCCGCGUGCGGGAUGACGGCCUUCGGUUUGUAAACCGCUUUCAGCAGGGGCGAAGCUUGUGGUGACGGUACCUGCAGAAGAAGCACCGGCUAACUACGUG